rnacentral:rRNA from 1 species
UACGUAGGGUGCGAGCGUUAAUCGGAAUUACUGGGCGUAAAGUGUGCGCAGGUGGCCGCGCAAGUCGAGUGUGAAAGCCCCCGGCUCAACUGGGGAGGGUCACUCGAUACUGAUCGACUUGAAGGCAGGAGAGGGAAGCGGAAUUCCCGGUGUAGUGGUGAAAUGCGUAGAUAUCGGGAGGAACACCAGUGGCGAAGGCGGCUUCCUGGCCUGUUCUUGACGCUGAGGCGCGAAAGCUAGGGGAGCAAACGGG